UUUAAAUAAUUAUAUCAUUAAUAAUGUAAAAAUUUAUUGUGAUAAAAUAAAACUCCAUAUUAAAGAAAACUGAUUAUUUUUACUACAAUUACUAUGUAUGCUUGUUGUAGAUGUUUUCAUGGACGAUUGGAAUAAUGAUAGUAUUAAACCACAUCCGUGGGACUAUAUUGACGAAUUUGAUAAACGGAAAAGUUCUGUAAAACAGAAAAUAAUUCUACUUUAUUGGUGCUUGUAUAUCUUAGAAAUAAUAUAUAUACCACGCAUUUAUUCAGAACAACAAGUUUGAUGAUAAGUAUGAUUACUAAGAGUUAUUUUAUAUUAAAACAAUAUAAAACGAUUAUGUCACGUAACAAUACCACAAAAGGGAUAUUCAAUUAAUUUUUUUAAUGCAAUUUUAUAGAAAAAUUUUGAUUUAAUAUUUUACCUUUAAAAAUUAACUAUCACAUCAUUUUCAUUAAAAUAUUUA